AUGGAUGGCGAAAUAUCAGUUUGGGGUCAUUCAAGGGUAGAAGGGAGGACUAUCACUAAUCUUCAUCAUUACCGUACAGAGAUUUAUUAUGUUGCUAUUGAAAAAAUAUAUAUGAAAAUGGAUCACCGUUUUCGUGAAAGAAGUAACAUUAUCCUUGAUUGUUUCUCAUGUCUUGACCCCAAAAAAUCUUUCUCUAAGUUUGAUGUUUGUAAACUUGCUCGUCUUGCUGAUAUUUAUGAUGCAGUUUUUUCUGAUGAUGACCGUUGA